rnacentral:rRNA from 1 species
UCUUCCCUCUUUCUUCGUGCCUAAUACAUGCAAGUCGAGCGAACGGACGAGAAGCUUGCUUCUCUGAUGUUAGCGGCGGACGGGUGAGUAACACGUGGAUAACCUACCUAUAAGACUGGGAUAACUUCGGGAAACCGGAGCUAAUACCGGAUAAUAUUUUGAACCGCAUGGUUCAAAAGUGAAAGACGGUCUUGCUGUCACUUAUAGAUGGAUCCGCGCUGCAUUAGCUAGUUGGUAAGGUAACGGCUUACCAAGGCAACGAUGCAUAGCCGACCUGAGAGGGUGAUCGGCCACACUGGAACUGAGACACGGUCCAGACUCCUACGGGAGGCAGCAGUAGGGAAUCUUCCGCAAUGGGCGAAAGCCUGACGGAGCAACGCCGCGUGAGUGAUGAAGGUCUUCGGAUCGUAAAACUCUGUUAUUAGGGAAGAUCAUAUGUGUAAGUAACUGUGCACAUCUUGACGGUACCUAAUCAGAAAGCCACGGCUAACUACGUG